rnacentral:lncRNA from 1 species
CCACACCCCCACACCCCCACACCCCAUCUGUAGAUCAGGCUGGCCUCGAACUCAGAAAUCCGCCUGCCUCUGCCUCCCAAGUGCUGAGAUUAAAGGCAUGCACCACCACCGCCCGGCUGUUACUUCCUUCUUGAUCCCAGACUUUCCCACCAGCAACAGAGACAGGCAGGAAAAGAGCACCUGGGAGAAGCUUUCCUACUGCCGAUGCCACAGCAGCACAAGACCGUGUUUCCCGGCAGCCCGCUUAUCUGGCCAAAGACGGUUUCCUCCUCACACAAUCACAGAGGACCUGUGUGCAAGUGAAAGUAUUGUUUCUGCGCGGCCCAUGGCAUGCCGUCUUUCCCACCGGUUACAGUUCCUCUGCUAGACAAACAGGAAUGUUCUGCUCUGGACUAGGUGAAACUGACUAGGUGCUUCUGUCAGAGCAUUUAAUUGUAUCAAUCAGAAUGGAUAGAACACAUCACCACGAUUCCUCCAAAGAUGGAUUCAAGUCCCCUCAAACCAGGAGCCAACAUUAAGUCCUUCAUUGACUUCGUCAGUUUUUCUGCUGCAAUGAUAAGAAGAAUAGCUAACACCAUGGGAAGGCGAUUCUCCGAAGCUCACGGAAUCUGGGGAUUCACUCAUCGUCGUAUAAACACACCAUGUGGGUUAAAACGAGGACAAAUCCAGAUACUCACCAUUAGGGAAUGUCAAUGCAUUUCAACUGCUUGGCCCCACAAGGUCAAAACACAGCCACAGUGUCUUCUCACAAUCCUCCAGGCUCUUCCCAGAUUACAGAGAGUGAUCUGGUCCUAUUCAAGAGGACAGAGUAUCCACCAGGCUCUGUCAAAGCUGCUCAGCAAAGACCAGAUAACCUCAGUUUGCUGUGAAGGAUAGCAGGGGUUGCUCCCGGGGUACCUGGUCCUCCUGUGUGAAAUGGGUAUGUGCUCUUUAUCCUCACAGCCAGGAAACUGGACUAACAACAGUGCAUAAAACUAUUUGUUUUGUUCUGUCUUUAGAAAUCAUUUUAGGGUUUUACAGACUGGGGAGCAAACAAUCAAUGCUGAAUAUUGAAUAAUCCCCUUGUCAUCACGAGUAACAGUCAUCCAAGGUUUUUAAAGCCCUUUCAUUUUGAAACACUCAGACGUCUCCUAGCUCGACCCUCCUCUGCCUUUACCUCUCUGCAGGAGACAGGCAAGCCUCUCUGCCAUGCUGAUUUGACCAGCAGCAAUGUGAUGUGAGCAUUGAGCAGUGUCACAAUGCGCCCAUCCGAGGGCUGUGGGAAUGUGGGCCAUUUGAGAGCUGGCAGCAGCAUAGUCUUGGUCAUGAAACCUUCCCAAGUAAAACAUUAAUUAACAUGAAGUGGGGUGUGACACCUCCCAUCUCAAGAUGGACUUCAAGAUGUCCAGUAUCUGUUUUAGCUGCCCAUCAAGUGGCUAAACCCCUCAGGACUAAGUAUUGGUCCAUUAAGAACUAUUUGUUAGGCUCCCUCCGGCUUGUAGACCUGCUGCCCUACUCCUCACCUGUCUAUGUGUUUGAGCUGAGCAUCACCAUAGCCAAAGCCCCUUGGCAGGGGAGCUUUCAGGUCUUAGUGAACAGGAAACAAGGAAAGAGGUAAUGCCAGAAGCACUUAGCAUAAGACCUAGCAACAGGCUCCAUUGACUGACUUCUUCCAUGAAGGCCCCAACCCCUAGCUUUCAUCACCU